rnacentral:tRNA from 1 species
UCGGCGUCGGGGCACGCGCCGAAGUCGAUGCCGGUGGCGGCGGCGCGGGCGGCCGCGACCGCGGUGCCGUGCCGUUCGGCGAUGCCGGU